AACGUAGGAGGCAAGCGUUAUCCGGAGUGACUGGGCGUAAAGCGCAUGUAGGCGGUUGGGCAAGUGGCGUGUGAAAGCGCUCGGCUAAACUGAGCGAGGACAGGUCAGACUGCCGAACUGGAGUCCGAUAGAGGAGCGUAGAAUUCCGGGUGUAGCGGUGAAAUGUGUAGAGAUCCGGAGGAAUACCAGUGGCGCAAGCGGCGCUCUGGGUCGGGACUGACGCUGAGAUGCGAAAGCGUGGGGAGCGAACGGG
rnacentral:rRNA from 2 species